UAAAAAUAUUGAGAAACAAGGCCAGGUUGAUCACCGUAAUGAUGAUACGUCAACCCCAGCAAGAAUGCCUCACAUUUGGGGACUGCUCGCUGGGCCGCAGGCCUCGGGCCAGCGCUCUGCAUGUGCCUCGUCCUUGGCUGGGAGUGCCCUCCUCUCCUCCCCGCCCCCGACGGCUGCCUGCCCGGUUCCAUUCAUCUUUUUUGAUGAUGUCACCUCCUCCGGGAGGCCCGCCGAGACUCUUCCAGUGCUCCUCUGCUCCCACCGCGCCCGGCCCGUGUCCCUACGUUCUGGAUUGUGAUUGCCCGCAGGGGACCUCCUCCGGGAGGUCCGGCGCUGCGCCAAUUGUAGCCGGCACGACCGGGUGAUGAGUCACGAAGCUCCGUCCCCUCCCAAAGCUAGCCGCGCGAGCCAGAGUCUCACUCUCUUCCGGCUCAGGAAGGCGGCUCUUUCCUGAGAAGCUGACUCUUCUGCAGAAUCCAGAAUCCGGGGAACCCCUGCUCCACUUACAGCUGGAUUUUGCAAACCUUGGCCCUGAUUCCCGGGAGCAUUCUGGAUGUGAUGAUGCCCAGCCCACGCCUGCAUCUUGGAGGCUGGGCUUGCCAGCUUCCUUCCCGGAACCUGCCUGCUUUCUUGCCACCUGCCUGCAUCUGGCCGGCCUGGUUAUUUUUUAAUUUAAAAAAAUGUACGUAAUCUCUACAUGGGACUGGAACUCACAACCCAAGGAUCAAGAGUCACAUGCUUCUCUGACGGAGCCAGUCCGGCACCUCAUCUCCUAGUAUAUUUUAAGAAGACAUCACAGUAGAGCUACAAAAGGAUUGAGGUAUGCUUUAAACAGCAGUGGAAAAAAAUAAAUAAAUAAACAGUAGUGGAACGAA